AGAGUUUGAUCCUGGCUCAGAACGAACGCUGGCGGCGCGUAUUAAGCAUGCAAGUCGAACGGUAGGGAGGACCUUCGGGUUUUCUUGAGAGUGGCGGACGGGUGAGUAACACGUAGGUGAUCUACCCUUGGAUGGGGGAUAGUCCAUGGAAACAUGGGGUAAUACCGCAUGAGGCCUAUGAUCUUAGAAGUCAUAGGUGAAAAGCGCAAUUGUGCUGUCCGAGGAUGAGCCUGCGGUCCAUUAGUUAGUUGGUGAGGUAAUGGCUCACCAAGGCGAUGAUGGAUAGCCGGCCUGAGAGGGUGUACGGUCACACUGGGACUGAGACACGGCCCAGACUCCUACGGGAGGCAGCAGCUGAGAAUCUUCCGCAAUGGGGGAAACCCUGACGGAGCGACGCCGCGUGGGUGAUGAAGGCCGAGAGGUUGUAAAGCCCUUUUCUUGCUGAAGAAUAAGGUGAGGAGUGGAAUGCCUUACUGAUGACGUUAGGCGAGAAUAAGCCCCGCCAAUU
rnacentral:rRNA from 1 species